rnacentral:rRNA from 1 species
UACAGAGGGGGCAAGCGUUGUUCGGAAUCACUGGGCGUAAAGCGCACGUAGGCGGAUUGCUAAGUCAGGGGUGAAAUCCUGGAGCUCAACUCCAGAACUGCCUUUGAUACUGGUGAUCUUGAGUCCGGGAGAGGUGAGUGGAACUGCGAGUGUAGAGGUGAAAUUCGUAGAUAUUCGCAAGAACACCAGUGGCGAAGGCGGCUCACUGGCCCGGUACUGACGCUGAGGUGCGAAAGCGUGGGAGCAAACAGG